GUUGAAUGUUAGUAAUAACAAACUUAUCAAGCUUCCAGCUGCAAUUGGAGAGCUUCCCUUGCUUAAAUCAUUAGACGUUUCAUUUAACUUGUUACAAAAAGUACCCGAGGAAAUUGGAUCAGCAACUUCCCUUGUCAAGUUUGAUUGUUCGAGCAAUCAACUUAAGGAACUCCCAGGUUCACUCGGAGGAUGUUUAGAUUUAUCUGAAUUGA
rnacentral:misc_RNA from 1 species